GUGAGUAACCUGCCCCUGACUCUGGGAUAAGCGUUGGAAACGACGUCUAAUACUGGAUACGACUGCCGGCCGCAUGGUCUGGUGGUGGAAAGAUUUUUUGGUUGGGGAUGGACUCGCGGCCUAUCAGCUUGUUGGUGAGGUAAUGGCUCACCAAGGCGACGACGGGUAGCCGGCCUGAGAGGGUGACCGGCCACACUGGGACUGAGACACGGCCCAGACUCCUACGGGAGGCAGCAGUGGGGAAUAUUGCACAAUGGGCGAAAGCCUGAUGCAGCAACGCCGCGUGAGGGAUGACGGCCUUCGGGUUGUAAACCUCUUUUAGUAGGGAAGAAGCGAAAGUGACGGUACCUGCAGAAAAAGCACCGGCUAACUACGUGCCAGCAGCCGCGGUAAUACGUAGGGUGCAAGCGUUGUC
rnacentral:rRNA from 2 species